rnacentral:rRNA from 1 species
CGCGUAGGCGGGGAUGUAAGUCAGACGUGAAAUCCCGGGGCUCAACCUCGGAACAGCAUUUGAAACUACAUCUCUCGAGGGUAGGCGGAGAAACGGAAUUCCACAAGUAGCGGUGAAAUGCGUAGAUAUGUGGAAGAACACCGGUGGCGAAGGCGGUUUUCUAGCUUAUUCCUGACGCUAAAGCGCGAAAGCAAGGGGAUCAAACA